rnacentral:rRNA from 1 species
AGUGGCGGACGGGUGAGUAACGCGUAAGAAUCUAACUUCAGGACGGGGACAACAGUGGGAAACGACUGCUAAUACCCGAUGUGCCGCGAGGUGAAACCUAAUUGGCCUGAAGAAGAGCUUGCGUCUGAUUAGCUAGUUGGUGGGGUAAGAGCCUACCAAGGCGACGAUCAGUAGCUGGUCUGAGAGGAUGAGCAGCCACACUGGGACUGAGACACGGCCCAGACUCCUACGGGAGGCAGCAGUGGGGAAUUUUCCGCAAUGGGCGAAAGCCUGACGGAGCAACGCCGCGUGAGGGAGGAAGGUCUUUGGAUUGUAAACCUCUUUUCUCAAGGAAGAAGUUCUGACGGUACUUGAGGAAUCAGCCUCGGCUAACUCCGUGCCAGCAGCCGCGGUAAUACGGGGGAGGCAAGCGUUAUCCGGAAUUAUUGGGCGUAAAGCGUCCGCAGGUGGUCAGCCAAGUCUGCCGUCAAAUCAGGUUGCUUAACGACCUAAAGGCGGUGGAAACUGGCAGACUAGAGAGCAGUAGGGGUAGCAGGAAUUCCCAGUGUAGCGGUGAAAUGCGUAGAGAUUGGGAAGAACAUCGGUGGCGAAAGCGUGCUACUGGGCUGUAUCUGACACUCAGGGACGAAAGCUAGGGGAGCGAAAGGGAUUAGAUACCCCUGUAGUCCUAGCCGUAAACGAUGGAUACUAGGCGUGGCUU